CAGCGGGCCAGGCCGCAGGGGAGGGGACAAAGAGAAGGGGCGGGGCCUGAGGGAGGCGAGGCCCGAGAAGAGAGACAAAGCCCCGGAGGAGCCGCCAGCGAAGCUCCUGGACGAUCUUUUCCGGAAAACCAAGGCGGCCCCGUGCAUUUAUUGGCUGCCCCUCACCGACACCCAGUUCGUGCAGAAGCAGGAAGAGGAAAUUUGAGUCGAAAUUUUGGGGGGAAAAUGUGGAAUUUUGGGUCAAAUUUGGUAAAAAAUUUAGAACUUAAUUGAAAUUUUUGGGGUGAAAUUCCCUUAAAUUUUACUAAAAAAUUCAAAUUUUGGGAUGAAAUAGCUUUAAAUUUUGCUAAAAAAUUCAAAUUUUGGGGUGAAAUUCUGUCAAAUUUUGCUAAAAAUCUUCAAAUUUUGGGGUGAAAUUCUCCUAAGUUUUACUAAAAAAUUCAAAUUUUGGGGUGAAAUUGCUUUAAAUUUUGCUAAAAAAUUCAAUUUUCGGGGUAGAAUUCCCUUACAUUUUUACUAGAAAAUUCAAAUUUUGGGGAGUAAAAAGUGGGAAUUUCGGGAUGAGCUCCGAUGGCCAAUGGGCGGCCAAUGUGGGUGUGUCCUGAGGUACCUAAUUAGCAUCUAAUUAGCAUAAAUUUGCAUACAUAGUUCGUGCAGAAGCAGGAAGAGGAAAUUUGGGUCAAAAUCUGGGAAUUUGGAUCAAAUCGAGGGAAUUUGGGGGAAAAGUGUGGAAAUUCGGUGGGGGGGGAAUUUAGAAAUUUAGGGAGAAAAAGAGGAAAUUUGGUUCAAAUUCAGUGGAAUUUUUUGAGAAAAAAAAUCAAAUUUUGAGUGAAUUUGGGGCAAAAAUUGCAUUAAAUUUCAUUCCAAAAAUUUCAAAUUUUGGGGAGAAAAAUACAGGCCCAAUUGGAGUGCGAUUAGCACCUCAUUUGCAUAAAUUUGCAUGCCCAAAAAUUUUUUGAAAAAUUAGAGUAAAAUUUCUGGAGAACAUUGGGAUUUGGGAUAAAACUGUGGAAAUGUGGGGGAAAAAGAGAAUUUUGGGUCAAAUUUGGGGGGAAAAAAGGAGAUUUUGGGUCAAAUUUGAGGCCGAUUUAUUUGAAAUUUUGGUAAAAAAAAUUUGAAAUUUUGGGGUAAAAAGCCGAAAUUUGGGAUGAGCUCCGAGGACCAAUGAGGGGCAGGCGUGGGCGUGUCCUGAGGUACCUAAUUAGCAUCUAAUUAGCAUACAUUUGCAUAUUCAGUUCGUUCAGAAGCAGGAAGAGGAAAUUUGGGUCGAAAUGUGGGGGGAAAAUGUGGGACUUCUGUGUCGAAUUUGGGGAAAAAAGUGAGAAUUUAAUUCAAAUUUUGGGGUGAAAUUCCCUUAAAUUUUGCUAAAAAACUCAAAUUU